GGGGGCAGGGUGGAAGUGACACCCUUGCGGAGCCAUGCUCUUCACUGAGCCCACUCCCUAUGCCGCAGCACCCCUCCUGUUGCACCCGCGCUCACGGGUUACCCUUGUCUGCAACAUUCUCCUUCCUCACCUCUUCAAGCCCUCUCUUCCUUGAAGGCAGGGGCUCCUAACCUUUCCUGAACCAAAGACCCCUCUGGCAGUCUGCUGAAGCCUAUGGGCUCCUUGUAAGUGUGUGACAUCAGUUCUACAGGAGUUUAAAAAUGAACUGAAAUACACUUAUAAAAUCUCUAAAGACAAGUUUGUUACACAGCAGCGAAUCUGCUUCCCCACGAGCAUGUUAAACAGCAAGACCUGGCAGCAGGUCCCGUAGUAACCCCUUGAACUGCAGUGGCAAUGUGGGGAAAGGCCGAGGGACCCGUCACACCGCAAGGUGACAAGAACAGGGCUGGGAUGUCUACUGUGAUGAAGUCACAGGCACUGCCCCCAUCACGGAGUCCUGUUGCCUGCAUUCAUUGCUGAAGGAAGGGCUGAAGAGCAGUCAGAGGCCAGUGAAGAUGGAGGGGUAGCUUUUUCCCACCCAAGUCCACUGACUUGCUGAUUCCCACCGGUGGACUCCUUGGGGGUCUGGGGACCUAGGGAGCCCCCUGCUGCGAGGCGAGUAACCCCCACUAUGGCUUCUCUGAUGGGCUCAAUUUCCCAGGCCUCGCUUCCUGCAAGCUCCAACCGCACCAUGGGCGGACUCCUUUCUCCAAGCCCACCCGGCCCUGCACAGCCCCGAGCACUUGCCGAGCACGAGGCCAUGAACGCCAAAAUACUGGUUGAACUGAAUUUCCUGUACCCCCUUCCCAAAUGAGGUCCGUCUUGUUGCCCACCAGCAUGAUGAUGACAUCGCUGCCCCUCUCUGUCCUGACGUCGUCAAUCCACUUCGAGGUCUGCUGGAAGGAGUUGAGAUCUGGAGGCGGAGUGGGGACACAACAGAGCUGGGGACCCAUGCGUCUGUGGAGUUGCUGCCUCUGGGCCCUGCAGAGACCCUCAUGUGGCUGACCCACUCCCUGGAAGACACCCUGUUGGAAGGUCACUGUCAUAAUGUGCUACACGGACUAGUGGUUUUAGGGGCCCACCUGAGAAUCAGAACUGACUUUGGGGGCUCAGAGAAGAGCAUGAGAAAUGGGUACACUG